ACAAAAUCUUGACAAUAAGUAUCACACAACAACACAAAAAAACAUCCUUUGAAAUGUAACUACUUAUCCUCUCUAUUUUCGUUAUUUUUUCGUCUUCUUCUUCUUCUUCUCAUUCUCUCUCGAACGUUGCUUCCUUUUUCGUAGAAA
rnacentral:ribozyme from 16 species